rnacentral:misc_RNA from 1 species
GGCAGAGCUAAAAAAACCUCCAACACGAAGAACACCCAGAAAAAAAAAACAAAGGUUGCAUUUGCAAACAGUAAAAUCUAUUGUUACAUCCAGCUUCGAUUUCCUCACUCCUGGAUUUUCUCCUCAGAUGUGUGCUUGGUGGUGGUUACCCAAUGUACGUACCAUCAGCCGGCGCCCCUUGUGUCCAGCUCCCCUGUUCGAUGGGCUUCAUGCCCAGUUUCUUCUGCUGCUUCCGUUCUACUUGUCGAGGCAUCACCUCCAAGAUGAAGCUGCCACCGUUCCAUGUCGAGGCGCACACCUUGAGUAUCAG